rnacentral:rRNA from 1 species
UACGGGGGGGGCAAGCGUUGUUCGGAAUUACUGGGCGUAAAGGGCUCGUAGGCGGCCAACUAAGUCAGACGUGAAAUCCCUCGGCUUAACCGGGGAACUGCAUCUGAUACUGGAUGGCUUGAGUUCGGGAGAGGGAUGUGGAAUUCCAGGUGUAGCGGUGAAAUGCGUAGAUAUUUGGAGGAACACCGGUGGCGAAGGCGGCAUCCUGGACCGACACUGACGCUGAGGAGCGAAAGCCAGGGGAGCAAACGGG